rnacentral:rRNA from 1 species
UUCAGAUUGCAGGCUGCAACUCGCCUGCAUGAAGUCGGAAUUGCUAGUAAUCGCGGAUCAGCAUGCCGCGGUGAAUACGUUCCCGGGCCUUGUACACACCGCCCGUCACACCAUGGGAGUCGGAAAUGCCCGAAGCCGGUGACCCAACCAAAAGGAGGGAGCCGUCGAAGGCAGGUCUGAUAACUGGGGUGAAGUCGUAACAAGGUAAC